UUCUGGAAAAGAGAAAUAACAACAAAAAGAUGUAGAAUUCAAAUUAUGAUUCUGAAUGUGAGCUUGGAAGCUACAUUUGUCCCCCAUUUCUUUCCUUUCUAUUGAAUCAUGCAUGCCCUUCAUAAACUUGUUUACCCUCUGCAAUGAUCAGAAGCAGUGGCCACACCAAUGAAGAAUAUGUUCACAGCCUGGCAUGGUUGCAGGCCUGCAGUCCCAGUGCUCCUCUAGGCUAAGGCAGCAGAACCAUGAGCCCCAGACCAGUCUGGGCUAUGGAACCCGAGGUCAGAUUGGGUCCCAAUGAGGCCCAGUCCUAAGACAACAGAAAGGAUCCUCAUAGUCCUUUCCUGAGCCCUAUAACACGGCAGUCACUGGAGGCUCCACGGGGAAUAAAGAGAGCUGGAAAAGAAGCAAGGCCGUGUUUAAUACAGAUCCUUUUGAAGUAUGUGGAAAUUCCACUGAUUUCAAACAACUAUGGAGGUGAGGUGGAUCUUGAUGGAUCCUAGAGACCCUAUCUCCCCCAUCAGCUCAGCUUCACAAGGUGAAAAUCCUGAAAAUUCCCUGGUGAACAUCUUGCAAUUCAUCGAGGCUAUUUCAGAGCAUUACUGCCACUUCAGGGAGAAGCCCUGGGUCUCCUCCGAGUAGCCUUUGGGCAUGCAGAAAUCCUCUCUAGGCUUUCCGCAUCCCUUAUCUUUCCCUCCUUUCCAACCACAGUAACUGCUCUUCUUGGUGUUUUUUAUUUGGAGGAAGAGCCAAAGAGCUAAAACAAAACAAAAUAAAA